rnacentral:rRNA from 1 species
UGGGGAAUAUUGCACAAUGGGGGAAACCCUGAUGCAGCGACGCCGCGUGAACGAAGAAGGUAUUCGUAUCGUAAAGUUCUGUCCUAUGGGAAGAUAAUGACAGUACCAUAGAAGAAAGCUCCGGCUAACUACGUGCCAGCAGCCGCGGUAAUACGUAGGUGGCAAGCGUUGUCCGGAUUUAUUGGGCGUAAAGCGAGCGCAGGCGGUCAAUUAAGUCUGAUGUGAAAGCCCCCGGCUCAACCGGGGAGGGUCAUUGGAAACUGGUUGACUUGAGUGCAGAAGAGGAGAGUGGAAUUCCAUGUGUAGCGGUGAAAUGCGUAGAUAUAUGGAGGAACACCAGUGGCGAAGGCGACUCUCUGGUCUGUAACUGACGCGGAGGCUCGAAAGCGUGGGUAGCAAACAGG